AGCAUCGUACCCUUUGCAGGUAUGGGUAUCUGACUAAUAACAAAGGUCAAAUUCAUCAUGGUCGACGAUUGAUCUACGAUGUCAAAGAUGCAGAAUGUAAGAACUUUUUUUAGGAGAUUUCAUGCCGCAUAUGUAGAUGCUGUCUCCAACCCUUCCAUGUUCCAGGGAAGAAGAUCACCUCCAAAGCCUUUGCGCAAAGAGUCAGCAGCAUCGUCAAGUCAUUUGGGUCGGGUGCAACUACAUAAGAACUAUUUCAUUUGUGAGCUUAGGCUUAAAAAAUCAGUUGCAUCAGUCAAAUUUUCUUAUUCGUGCCUUCCUGCCUCACCUACUUCCGUAGAUUCCACCAUAUAAGCUUUUGGCAAAGUUGUUAGAAAAAUAUAUCAGAAUGAGAUAUUUGUCACAUCAUGUAAUUGUAAAAUGGCUGAUGUUAUGUAUGAGUUAAUUCUUGUAUUGGAUUUAUGAAGCAACAGCCUCUUUGACCUGUUUUCCGCUA